rnacentral:rRNA from 1 species
AGAGAUAGAAAGUUACUUCGGUACAUCGGUGACAGGUGGUGCAUGGUUGUCGUCAGCUCGUGUCGUGAGAUGUUGGUUAAGUCCCGCAACGAGCGCAACCCCUAUUGUUAGUUGCCAUCAUUCAGUUGGGCACUCUAGCGAGACUGCCGGUAAUAAACCGGAGGAAGGUGGGGAUGACGUCAAAUCAUCAUGCCCCUUAUGACCUGGGCUACACACGUGCUACAAUGGUUGGUACAACGAGUUGCGAGUCGGUGACGGCGAGCUAAUCUCUUAAAGCCAAUCUCAGUUCGGAUUGUAGGCUGCAACUCGCCUACAUGAAGUCGGAAUCGCUAGUAAUCGCGGAUCAGCACGCCGCGGUGAAUACGUUCCCGGACCUU